AGCAGCCGCGGUAAUUCCAGCUCCAAUAGCGUAUAUUAAAGUUGUUGCAGUUAAAAAGCUCGUAGUUGAAUUUCGGGGUUAGUAGGUUGGUCAUGCCUCUGGUAUGUACUGGUCUCACUGAUUCCUCCUUCCUGAUGAGCCGUAAUGCCAUUAAUUUGGUGUUGCGGGGAAUCUGGACUGUUACUUUGAAAAAUUAGAGUGUUUAAAGCAAGCUAACGCUUGAAUACAUUAGCAUGGAAUAAUGAAAUAGGACGUUCGAUCCUAUUUUGUUGGUUUCUAGGAUUGACGUAAUGAUUAAUAGGGAUAGUUGGGGGCAUUAGUAUUCAAUUGUCAGAGGUGAAAUUCUUGGAUUUAUUGAAGACUAACUACUGCGAAAGCAUUUGCCAAGGAUGUUUUCAUUAAUCAAGAACGAAAGUUAGGGGAUCGAAGACGAUCAGAUACCGUCGUAGUCUUAACCAUAAACUAUGCCGACUAGGGAUCGGAUGAUGUUAAUUUUUAAUGA
rnacentral:misc_RNA from 1 species